rnacentral:rRNA from 1 species
CCUACGGGAGGCAGCAGUGAGGAAUAUUGGUCAAUGGACGAGAGUCUGAACCAGCCAAGUAGCGUGAAGGAUGACUGCCCUAUGGGUUGUAAACUUCUUUUAUAUGGGAAUAAAAUGUUCCACGUGUGGGAUUUUGUAUGUACCAUAUGAAUAAGGAUCGGCUAACUCCGUGCCAGCAGCCGCGGUAAUACGGAGGAUGCGAGCGUUCUCCGGAUUUAUUGGGUUUAAAGGGUGCGUAGGUGGAUUGUUAAGUCAGUUGUGAAAGUUUGCGGCUCAACCGUGAAAUUGCAGUUGAAACUGGCAGUCUUGAGUACAGUAGAGGUGGGCGGAAUUCGUGGUGUAGCGGUGAAAUGCUUAGAUAUCACGAAGAACUCCGAUUGCGAAGGCAGUUCACUGGACUGCAACUGACACUGAGGCUCGAAAGUGUGGGUAUCAAACAGGAUUAGAUACCCUAGUAGUC